AUGAACGCUGGCGGCGUGCCUAAUACCUGCAAGUCGAGCGAACGGACGAGAAGCUUGCUUCUCUGAUGUUAGCGGCGGACGGGUGAGUAACACGUGGAUAACCUACCUAUAAGACUGGGAUAACUUCGGGAAACCGGAGCUAAUACCGGAUAAUAUUUUGAACCGCAUGGUUCAAAAGUGAAAGACGGUCUUGCUGUCACUUAUAGAUGGAUCCGCGCUGCAUUAGCUAGUUGGUAAGGUAACGGCUUACCAAGGCAACGAUGCAUAGCCGACCUGAGAGGGUGAUCGGCCACACUGGAACGGAGACACGGUCCAGACUCCUACGGGGGGCAGCAGUAGGGAAUCUUCCGCAAUGGGCGAAAGCCUGACGGAGCAACGCCGCGUGAGUGAUAAAGGUCUUCGGAUCGUAAAACUCUGUUAUUAGGGAAGAACAUAUGUGUAAGUAACUGUGCACAUCUUGACGGUACCUAAUCAGAAAGCCACGGCUAACUACGUG
rnacentral:rRNA from 1 species